UACGGGAGGCAGCAGUGGGGAAUAUUGCACAAUGGGCGCAAGCCUGAUGCAGCCAUGCCGCGUGUAUGAAAAAGGCCUUCGGGUUGUAAAGUACUUUCAGUCGUGAGGAAGGUGUUAAGGUUAAUAACCUUAGCAAUUGACGUUAGCGGCAGAAGAAGCACCGGCUAACUCCGUGCCAGCAGCCGCGGUAAUACGGAGGGUGCGAGCGUUAAUCGGAAUUACUGGGCGUAAAGGGCACGCAGGCGGUUAAUUAAGUUGGAUGUGAAAUCCCCGGGCUUAACCUGGGAAUGGCAUUCAAGACUGGUUAGCUAGAGUCUUGUAGAGGGGGUAGAAUUCCAUGUGUAGCGGUGAAAUGCGUAGAGAUGUGGAGGAAUACCGGUGGCGAAGGCGGCCCCUGGACAAAGACUGACGCUCAUGUGCGAAAGCGUGGGGAGCAAACAGGGAUUAGAUACC
rnacentral:rRNA from 1 species